GGUCGCGUGGCCCAAUGGCAAGGUGCUUGACUACGAAUCAAGAGAUUGCAGGUUCGAUCACUGCCGCGACCA
rnacentral:tRNA from 2 species